AUUGAACGCUGGCGGCAGGCCUAACACAUGCAAGUCGAACGCUUGGCGGACGGGUGAGUAAUGUCUGGGAAACUGCCUGAUGGAGGGGGAUAACUACUGGAAACGGUAGCUACUACCGCAUACCAUCUGAUGUGCCCCGAUGGGAUUAGCUUGUAGGUGGGGUAAAGGCUAACCUAGGCGACGAUCCCUAGCUGGUCUGAUAGGAUGACCAGCCACACUGGAACUGAGACACGGUCCAGACUACUACGGGAGGCAUCAGUGGGGAAUAUUGCACAAUGGGCGCAAGCCUGAUGCAGCCAUGCCGCGUGUAUGAAGAAGGCCUUCGGGUUGUAAAGUACUUUCAGCGGAGAGGCGUUACCCGCAGAAGAAGAACCGGCUAACUCCGUGACAGCAGCCGCGGUAAUAC
rnacentral:rRNA from 1 species